rnacentral:misc_RNA from 1 species
GGGUGCCCUAAUUUAGUUGGCUUCAUUUUUUUCUAUAUAUGAUGAGAAAGCAUAUGGGACAUUAGUAUAAUUAAUUGACAUAGAAUAUACAUACGCACUUGGUCGUACGUAGCAUAGUCAACAAAUAGUCCCACAGAUCCUCACGUUUCAUUUAUAGAAAUUUGCUUUGUUAGGUUGUUCUCCAUCUCCACCUUUGGCAUUUACAUAUUUUUUUUUCCUUCCCCGUUGAGAACGGUGGCAAGUGAAGAAGCAGCCGCAGUAUCACGAGACCCACCGCACUGUAACAUUUUCUUGGAUCUCUCUCUCUCUCUUUCUUUAU